rnacentral:rRNA from 1 species
ACAAGCGUGGAGCAUGUGGUUUAAUUUCGACGAUACGCGAAGAACCUUACCUGGCCUUGACAUACUAAAAAGCUUUAAGAGAUUAGAGUGUGCUAGCUUGCUAGAAUUUAGAUACAGGUGCUGCACGGCUGUCGUCAGCUCGUGUCGUGAGAUGUUGGGUUAAGUCCCGCAACGAGCGCAACCCUCGUGUUUAGUUGCUAACAGUUCGGCUGAGAACUCUAAACAGACUGCCUACGCAAGUAGGAGGAAGGUGAGGACGACGUCAAGUCAUCAUGGCCCUUACGGCCAGGGCUACACACGUGCUACAAUGGGGUAUACAAAGAGCAGCGAUACGGUGACGUGGAGCAAAUCUAGAAAAUGCCUCUCAGUUCGGAUUGUAGUCUGCAACUCGACUACAUGAAGUUGGAAUCGCUAGUAAUCGUAGAUCAGCAAUGCUACGGUGAAUACGUUCCCGGGUCUU